rnacentral:rRNA from 1 species
GACGAACGCUGGCGGCGUGCUUAACACAUGCAAGUCGAACGGUAAGGCCCUUCGGGGUACACGAGUGGCGAACGGGUGAGUAACACGUGGGUGAUCUGCCCUGCACUUCGGGAUAAGCCUGGGAAACUGGGUCUAAUACCGGAUAGGACCCUGGGAUGCAUGUCCUGGGGGGGAAAGCUUUUGCGGUGUGGGAUGGGCCCGCGGCCGAUCAGCUUGUUGGUGGGGUGAUGGCCUACCAAGGCGACGACGGGUAGCCGGCCUGAGAGGGUGACCGGCCACACUGGGACUGAGAUACGGCCCAGACUCCUACGGGAGGCAGCAGUGGGGAAUAUUGCACAAUGGGCGCAAGCCUGAUGCAGCGACGCCGCGUGAGGGAUGACGGCCUUCGGGUUGUAAACCUCUUUCAGCACCGACGAAGCGCAAGUGACGGUAGGUGCAGAAGAAGGACCGGCCAACUACGUGCCAGCAGCCGCGGUAAGAC